rnacentral:rRNA from 1 species
UACGGGGGGGGCAAGCGUUGUUCGGAAUUACUGGGCGUAAAGGGUUUGUAGGUGGCUGAUUAAGUCAGACGUGAAAUCCCUCAGCUUAACUGGGGAACUGCGUCUGAUACUGGUUAGCUUGAGUGCAGGAGAGGAACGCGGAAUUCCAGGUGUAGCGGUGAAAUGCGUAGAUAUGUGGAGGAAUACCGAUGGCGAAGGCAGCCCCCUGGGCUAAGAUUGACGCUCAUGCACGAAAGCGUGGGGAGCAAACAGG